rnacentral:lncRNA from 1 species
UUUCGUUCUCCCCAACUUAUUUCUUACUCACCCUAAGUGAAUGCUCUUGACUUUUUACGGCAAAAGAACAAUUAUCAAAAUUUUCCGGGUUUCAAGAAAAAAGAUUUUUGACAUCUCGCUUUAUUUCAAGCUGAGAUUCAACUGUUUAAGCUCAAAGGGGUUAACGAAUACUCUCUCUGCUCACGGGUAAGUUGUAUUUGGAACUGGUUGUGCUCAAUAGAAAACAAGCGCCUUGAUCAUUUCUAAUUGCUUCCACAAAUUCACAAUAAUAAAAGACCAAGCAUGAAUCAAAUGAAUCAACAAAGUUUAUUAGAAUCCAGCAUUUAAGUGUACAAUGGAGGUUUCCUCACAAUUUGUGGUCCUAAGUCCUAGAUGAAACAUUCAUUCAAUUAUGUUGCAAAAAGAACAAUAUUCAAUUACAAAAAGAGUAAAGUUCUUAAUGCAUUCUAAAACUCUAACCGAAGGUAACCAUGUACCUUA